rnacentral:rRNA from 1 species
UCGUUUGGGAGGCCGGCCGAUGGUCGGUAUUAGCUUAGUUGGGUGGGGUAAAGGCUUACCAAGGCGACGAUCCGUAGCGGGUCUGAGAGGAUGAUCCGCCACACUGGGACUGAGACACGGCCCAGACUCCUACGGGGAGGCAGCAGGUGGGGAAUUUUUGGACAAUGGGCGGAAGCCUGAUCCAGCCAUGCCGCGUGAGUGAAGAAGGCCUUCGGGUUGUAAAGCUCUUUCGGUGGGGAAGAAAUUGCUUGGGUUAAUACCCUGAGUAGAUGACGGUACCUGCACAAGAAGCACCGGCUAACUACGUG